rnacentral:rRNA from 1 species
GCGUAUGCAACCUACCCUAUACAGGGGGAUAGCCCGGAGAAAUCUGGAUUAAUACCCCAUGGUACUAAGAUGAGGCAUUUUGUUUUAGUUAAAGAUUUAUCGGUAUAGGAUGGGCAUGCGUCUGAUUAGCUAGUUGGCGGUGUAACGGACCACCAAGGCGACGAUCAGUAGGGGUUCUGAGAGGAAGGUCCCCCACACUGGCACUGAGAUACGGGCCAGACUCCUACGGGAGGCAGCAGUAGGGAAUAUUGGGCAAUGGACGAGAGUCUGACCCAGCCAUGCCGCGUGCAGGAAGACGGCGUUCUGCGUUGUAAACUGCUUUUAUCUGGGAAGAAAAAGUCCAUGCGUGGAAAAUUGCCGGUACCAGAUGAAUAAGCACCGGCUAACUCCGUGCCAGCAGCCGCGGUAAUACGGAGGGUGCAAGCGUUGUCCGGAUUUAUUGGGUUUAAAGGGUGCGUAGGCGGCUAAUUAAGUCAGCGGUGAAAGUUUUGGGCUUAACCCAGAAAUUGCCAUUGAUACUGGUUAGCUUGAGUAUUGGAGGGGUACAUGGAAUUGAUGGUGUAGCGGUGAAAUGCAUAGAUACCAUCAGGAACACCGAUAGCGAAGGCAUUGUACUGGCCAAUAACUGACGCUGAUGCACGAAAGCAUGGGUAGCGAACAGGAUUAGAUACCCUGGUAGUCCAUGCCGUAAACGAU